CUUCAGGUCCAUCAGUGCAAUACGCUACAACAGCCGUCAUGUAUAGAGAUUUGUCCAAAAUCUUGCCAAACAAACGAAACAAUACAAAUAACAAGGCGGAUGAUACUGAUGAUGUUAUAAAUGCACCCAUUCUUUCGUUGACAAUUUCACCACCAAUAAAGUCGAAUAAAUUGGAUCCACCACUCCAAUUAAAUUUUACUCAUGACAUGACUAAUUUCUCUAAUCCAUUGUGUUCGUAUUGGGCAUUUCCAAAGUAAGUAAGCUUCGAUAUG